GUUAUAGGGACAAGCGAAUAAGUGCACAUGGUGGAUGCCUUGGCGAUUACAGGCGAUGAAGGACGUAGUAGCUUGCGAUAAGCUGCGGGGAGUGAGCAAACACACUUUGAUCCGCAGAUUUCCGAAUGGGGAAACCCGGCCUUUAUGGUCAUUGCAUACUGAAUACAUAGGUAUGCAAAGCGAACGCGGCGAACUGAAACAUCUAAGUAGCUGCAGGAAAAGAAAUCAACCGAGAUUCCCAAAGUAGUGGCGAGCGAAAUGGGAUGAGCCUGUACGUGAUAGUCGAUUGGAUAGUGGAAGCCUUUGGAAACAGGCGCCAUAGAGGGUGAUAGCCCCUUACACGAAAUUCAAACGGUGAUACUAAGCGUACGACAAGUAGGGCGGGACACGAGAAAUCCUGUCUGAACAUGGGGGGACCAUCCUCCAAGGCUAAAUACUCGUAAUCGACCGAUAGUGAACCAGUACCGUGAGGGAAAGGCGAAAAGAACCCCGGGAGGGGAGUGAAAUAGAUCCUGAAACCGUGUGCAUACAAACAGUAGGAGCGGACUUGUUCCGUGACUGCGUACCUUUUGUAUAAUGGGUCAGCGACUUACAUUCAGUGGCGAGGUUAACCGAAUAGGGGAGCCGUAGAGAAAUCGAGUCCGAACAGGGCGACAGUCGCUGGGUGUAGACCCGAAACCAAGUGAUCUACCCAUGGCCAGGAUGAAGGUGCGGUAACACGCCCUGGAGGUCCGAACCCACUAAUGUUGAAAAAUUAGGGGAUGAGCUGUGGGUAGGGGUGAAAGGCUAAACAAACUUGGAAAUAGCUGGUUCUCUCCGAAAACUAUUUAGGUAGUGCCUCAAGUAUCACCAUCGGGGGUAGAGCACUGUUAUGGCUAGGGGCUCAUUGCGAGUUACCAAACCAUUGCAAACUCCGAAUACCGAUGAGUGCGAGCUUGGGAGACAGACGUCGGGUGCUAACGUCCGGCGUCAAGAGGGAAACAACCCAGACCGCCAGCUAAGGUCCCAAAGAUUGGCUAAGUGGAAAACGAAGUGGGAAGGCUAAAACAGUCAGGAUGUUGGCUUAGAAGCAGCCAUCAUUUAAAGAAAGCGUAAUAGCUCACUGAUCGAGUCGUCCUGCGCGGAAGAUGUAACGGGGCUAAGCCAGUCACCGAAGCUGCGGAUAUGCNNNNNNNNNNNNNNNNNNNNNNNNNNNNNNNNNNNNNNNNNNNNNNNNNNNNNNNNNNNNNNNNNNNNNNNNNNNNNNNNNNNNNNNNNNNNNNNNCUUGAAGCAAUCGGAAGUGGUUCCAAGAAAAGCCUCUAAGCUUCAGUCAUACGAGACCGUACCGCAAACCGACACAGGUGGGCGAGAUGAGUAUUCUAAGGCGCUUGAGAGAACUCGGGAGAAGGAACUCGGCAAAUUGGUACCGUAACUUCGGGAAAAGGUACGCCCUUGUAGUUUGACCACUUUACUGUGGAAGGAUGAACGGGUUGCAAUAAACUGGUGGCUGCGACUGUUUAAUAAAAACACAGCACUCUGCAAACACGAAAGUGGACGUAUAGGGUGUGACGCCUGCCCGGUGCUGGAAGAUUAAAUGAUGGGGUGCAAGCUCUUGAUUGAAGUCCCAGUAAACGGCGGCCGUAACUAUAACGGUCCUAAGGUAGCGAAAUUCCUUGUCGGGUAAGUUCCGACCUGCACGAAUGGCGUAACGAUGGCCACACUGUCUCCUCCCGAGACUCAGCGAAGUUGAAAUGUUUGUGAUGAUGCAAUCUACCCGCGGCUAGACGGAAAGACCCCAUGAACCUUUACUGUAGCUUUGCAUUGGACUUUGAACCAAUCUGUGUAGGAUAGGUGGGAGGCUUUGAAGCGGGGACGCCAGUUCUCGUGGAGCCAUCCUUGAAAUACCACCCUGGUUUGUUUGAGGUUCUAACCUUGGUCCGUUAUCCGGAUCGGGGACAGUGCAUGGUAGGCAGUUUGACUGGGGCGGUCUCCUCCUAAAGCGUAACGGAGGAGUUCGAAGGUACGCUAAUUACGGUCGGACAUCGUGAUGAUAGUGCAAUGGCAUAAGCGUGCUUAACUGCGAGACCGACAAGUCGAGCAGGUACGAAAGUAGGACAUAGUGAUCCGGUGGUUCUGUAUGGAAGGGCCAUCGCUCAACGGAUAAAAGGUACUCUGGGGAUAACAGGCUGAUUCCUCCCAAGAGUUCAUAUCGACGGGGGAGUUUGGCACCUCGAUGUCGGCUCAUCACAUCCUGGGGCUGUAGCCGGUCCCAAGGGUAUGGCUGUUCGCCAUUUAAAGUGGUACGUGAGCUGGGUUUAAAACGUCGUGAGACAGUUUGGUCCCUAUCUGCCGUGGGCGUUGGAAAUUUGAAGGGGGCUGCUCCUAGUACGAGAGGACCGGAGUGGACGAACCUCUGGUGUACCGGUUGUCACGCCAGUGGCAUUGCCGGGUAGCUAAGUUCGGAAGAGAUAACCGCUGAAAGCAUCUAAGCGGGAAACUUGCCUUGAGAUGAGAUUUCCCGGAGCCUUGAGCUCCUUGAAGGGUCGUUCGAGACCAGGACGUUGAUAGGCUGGGUGUGGAAGUGCAGUAAUGCAUUAAGCUAACCAGUACUAAUUGCCCGUACGGCUUGUCCCUAUAACCUUGGUAGGU
rnacentral:rRNA from 1 species